rnacentral:rRNA from 1 species
CGGAGGAUCCAAGCGUUAUCCGGAAUCAUUGGGUUAAAGGUCCGUAGGCGGGUUUAUAAGUCAGUGGUGAAAGCCCAUCGCUCAACGAUGGAACGGCCAUUGAUACUGUAGAUCUUGAAUUAUUAGGAAGUAACUAGAAUAUGUAGUGUAGCGGUGAAAUGCUUAGAGAUUACAUGGAAUACCAAUUGCGAAGGCAGGUUACUACUAAUGGAUUGACGCUGAUGGACGAAAGCGUGGGUAGCGAACAGGAUUAGAUACCCUGGUAGUCCACGCCGUAAACGAUGGAUACUAGCUGUUCGGAGCAAUCUGAGUGGCUAAGCGAAAGUGAUAAGUAUCCCACCUGGGGAGUACGUUCGCAAGAAUG